rnacentral:rRNA from 1 species
AUGUGUCGAACAACCAGUCUCUUGCUCACUCUCAUCAGCAUAAGCAUCUUUCCAUUCUUCACAACUGGUUCACUACAGCCCCAGCAUGCUCAUGGCGCCGGCUGCAUCCCGGUCGAGAGGGCUGCCUUGCUCUCCUUCAAAGAGGGCAUUACAAGCAACAACACCAACCUCCUUGCCUCGUGGCAAGGACAUGAGUGCUGCCGGUGGAGAGGCGUCAGUUGCAGCAACCGAACAGGCCAUGUCAUCAAGCUUCACCUUCGAAAUCCGAAUGUGACGCUCGAUGCCUAUGGCUACUAUGAUACAUGUGCUGGUGCCAGUGCUUUGUUCGGCAAGAUAAGUCCCUCUCUGCUUUCCUUGAAGCGUCUAAAGCACCUCGACCUCAGCAUGAACUGUUUACUUGGGCCAAAUAGCCAAAUUCCUCAUUUACUGGGCUUCAUGGGGAACUUGAGAUACCUUAACCUCUCUGGCAUACCAUUUACCGGUACAGUGCCUUCUCAGCUUGGUAAUCUGUCUAAGUUGCAGUAUCUUGACCUUGGCCAAACUGGUGAAUUUUCAGAUUCAGAUAUGUACUCAACGGAUAUCACCUGGUUAACAAAGUUGUCUUUCCUGAAGUUCCUUAGAAUGAGGGGAAUAACACUAGAAGGGAUAGGUGACUGGCCUCAUACCCUGAAUAGGAUUCCAUCUCUGAGGGUUAUUGAUCUUUCCCUCUGUUCUCUUCAUAGUGCAAACCAAUCACUUCCACACCUUAAUCUCACAAAACUUGAGAAGCUUGACCUCUCCCUGAAUUACUUUGAGCACUCACUUGGAUCUGGCUGGUUUUGGAAAGCGAUAAGCCUCAAGUACCUCGCUCUUGGGCAUAACUCACUAUUCGGCCAGUUCCCUGACACACUAGGAAACAUGACGUCCCUUCAAGUCCUUGAUGUUUCCUAUAAUUGGAACCCCGACAUGAUGAUGAUAGGAAAGCUUCUUAAGAAUCUUUGUAGUUUGGAAAUCAUUGACCUCGAUGGUAAUGAGAUAAGUGGAGAGAUAGAAGUGCUGAUGGAGAGUUGGCCGCAAUGCACAUGGAAAAAUUUGCAGGAGUUGGAUUUAAGUAGCAACACUUUCACUGGAACUCUGCCAAACUUUCUUGGUGACUUCACCAGUUUGCGCACACUAAGCCUCUCUGGAAACAGCCUUGCUGGACCUAUACCACCACAGCUUGGGAAUUUGACAUGUCUAACCUCCCUUGAUCUCAGCAGCAAUCACUUCACUGGAAGUAUACCAGACGAGCUUGGGAAUUUGAGGUAUUUAACUGCUCUUGAACUCCAGGGCAACGAAAUUACUGGAUCUAUACCCCUACAGCUUGGGAAUUUGACAUGUCUAACCUCCAUUGACCUCGGUGACAAUCACCUCACAGGAAGUAUACCAGCCGAGGUUGGGAAAUUGACGUAUUUGACUUCUUUGGACCUCUCCAGCAAUCAUCUCAAUGGAAGUGUACCCACUGAAAUGGGUUCUCUUAUUAAUCUGAUUUCUCUGGACCUGAGGAACAAUAGCUUUACUGGUGUGAUCACAGGAGAACACUUUGCAAAUCUAACAAGUUUAAAGCAAAUAGACUUGUCUUACAACAAUUUGAAGAUGGUACUGAAUUCAGAUUGGCGUGCUCCCUUUACCUUGGAGUCUGCAUCAUUUGGAUCUUGCCAGAUGGGUCCUCUGUUUCCACCUUGGCUUCAGCAGCUGAAAACCACUCAACUUAACAUUUCAAGCAACGGUUUGAAGGGCGAGUUUCCAGAUUGGUUUUGGUCCGCAUUUUCAAAUGUCACACAUCUGGACAUCUCUAACAACCAAAUAAAUGGAAGCUUGCCAGCACAUAUGGAUAGCAUGGCUUUUGAAGAACUCCAUCUCAGUUCGAACCGGCUUACUGGACCAAUACCUACUUUGCCAAUAAAUAUCACCCUAUUAGACAUCUCCAACAAUACAUUUUCAGAAACAAUACCAUCAAACCUUGUAGCCCCAGGACUUAAAGUAUUGUGUAUGCAGUCAAAUAAUACUGGUGGCUACAUUCCAGAAUCUGUUUGCAAAUUGGAACAACUAGAGUAUCUGGAUUUGUCGAACAAUAUUUUGGAGGUUCUUGGAUCUGUCAUGGAACAACUUCUCUGGAAGAUUACCUACAUGGAUAGGGAAGCUGGCCAAUUUGCGUUUUCUCAUACUAAGCCACAACAAUUUUCUGAUAGUAUUCCAGUCGACGUAACAAAGCUUGGGCAUCUUCAAUACUUGGAUCUAUCAGACAAUAGGUUCUUUGGUGCAAUACCUUGUCAUCUGUCGAACCUAACAUUUAUGAGAACAUUACAAGAGGACAUAGAUAUGGAUGGCCCUAUUCUAUAUGUUUUCAAAGAAUAUGCGACCGGAAUUGCACCUCAAGAAUUAGGACAAACAUUGUCAGUAAAUACAAAAGGACAACAUCUUAUAUAUCAUAUGACACUUGCAUAUUUUGUGGGGAUUGAUUUAUCAUACAACUCCUUGACUGGUGAAAUUCCUACAGACAUCACUUCACUUGAUGCACUAGUGAAUUUGAAUUUAUCAUCAAACCAGUUGAGUGGAGAAAUUCCAAACAUGAUUGGCGCCAUGCAGUCAUUAGAAUCACUCGACCUCUCUCAGAAUAAACUUUAUGGUGAAAUCCCAUCGAGCUUGACAAAUCUGACAUCUCUGAGCUACCUGGACCUGUCCUACAACAGUUUGUCUGGCAGGAUACCCUCUGGCCCCCAACUUGACACCCUCAGUGCUGAAAAUCAGUCACUUAUGUACAUCGGCAACAGUGGACUUUGUGGGCCUCCUGUCCACAAGAAUUGUUCAGGAAAUGAACCUUCCAUCCAUGACGAUCUCAAAAGCAGCAAGAAAGAAUUUGACCCACUGAACUUUUACUUUGGGCUUGUGCUGGGAUUUGUGGUGGGUCUCUGGAUGGUGUUUUGUGCACUGUUGUUCAAGAGGACAUGGAGAAUUGCUUAUUUCCGGCUCUUCGACAGGGUGUAUGAUCAAGUCUAUGUAUUUGUGGUUGUGAAGUGA